rnacentral:rRNA from 1 species
CCGGGCGACCGGCGCACGGGUGAGUAACACGUAUGCAACCUGGCCGUGACAGAUGGAUAACCGGGAGAAAUCCCGCCUAAUACAACAUAAUGCCGGGAGGGGACAUCCCCUGCCGGUCAAAGGGGGCGACCCCGGUCAUGGAUGGGCAUGCGGCGCAUUAGGUAGUUGGUGGGGCAACGGCCCACCAAGCCGACGAUGCGUAGGGGUUCUGAGAGGAAGGUCCCCCACAUUGGAACUGAGACACGGUCCAAACUCCUACGGAAGGCAGCAG